rnacentral:rRNA from 1 species
AGAGUUUGAUCAUGGCUCAGGAUGAACGCUAGCUACAGGCGUAACACAUGCAAGUCGAGGGAAACGACAUCUAAAGCUUGCUUUUGAUGGGCGUCGACCGGCGCACGGGUGAGUAACGCGUAUCCAACCUGCCCACCACUUGGGGAUAACCUUGCGAAAGUAAGACUAAUACCCAAUGAUAUCUCUAGAAGACAUCUGAAAGAGAUUAAAGAUUCAUCGGUGAUGGAUGGGGAUGCGUCUGAUUAGCUUGUUGGCGGGGUAACGGCCCACCAAGGCAACGAUCAGUAGGGGUUCUGAGAGGAAGGUCCCCCACAUUGGAACUGAGACACGGUCCAAACUCCUACGGGAGGCAGCA